GACGAACGCUGGCGGCGUGCUUAACACAUGCAAGUCGAGCGGUAAGGCCCUUUCGGGGGUACGACGAGCGGCGAACGGGUGAGUAACACGUGGGUGACCUGCCCUCAGCUCUGGGAUAAGCCUGGGAAACUGGGUCUAAUACUGGAUAUGACUCCACGGUGCAUGUCGUGGGGUGGAAAGCCUUGUGCGGCUGAGGAUGGGCCCGCAGCCUAUCAGCUUGUUGGUGGGGUGAUGGCCUACCAAGGCGACGACGGGUAGCCGGCCUGAGAGGGCGACCGGCCACACUGGGACUGAGACACGGCCCAGACUCCUACGGGAGGCAGCAGUGGGGAAUCUUGCGCAAUGGGCGAAAGCCUGACGCAGCGACGCCGCGUGAGGGAUGACGGCCU
rnacentral:rRNA from 1 species